CCCAUUUUCCCGCCUCUCCUUAUAGCACAUAUAGACCAGGCAUGGGCAAACUUCAGCCCUCCCUCCAGGUGUUUUGGACUCCAACUCCCACCAUUCCUAACAGCCUCAGGCCCUUUCCUUUUCCACCAAAGUCAACAUUGACACUGAAAUACAACACCGCCUGAGCUCUGCAAGUGUAGCAUUUUUCUGAAUGAAGCAGAGAGUGUUUGAGGACCGGGACAUCCGUGGGAAGACCAAGGUGCUUGUUCAUAAAGCUAUUGUCCUCCUAACCCUGCUAUAUGCCUGCUAAACGUGGACUGUCUACAGACAUCACAUUCAGCUCUUGGAAUGAUUCCAUCAGCAUUGCCUCCAAAAAAAUCCUUCAAAUCUCUUGGGAAGACAGGCAGACAAAUGUCAGCAUGCUGGAAGAAGCAAAGACCCCCAACACUGAAGUGAUGCUACUACGCCAUCAAUUCUGCUGGACUGGCCAUGUUGUCUGAAUGCCCAAUCACAGUCUUCCAAAGCAGGUACUAUACUCUGAACUCAAGAACAGGAAACAUAAUGUUGGUGGGCAGGAAAAGAGAUGUAAAGAUGGGCUCAAAGCCAGCCUUAAAAACGCUGGCAUAGACACCAAGAAUUGCGAAGCACUGGCCUCGAGUGCUCUAGCUGGAGGUCAGAUGUGACCAGCAGUGCUGCAGAAUUCAAAGAGGCAUGAAUGGAGGGAGAAGGAGAAAUGUGCCAAGAGGAAGCUGCAUCAAGCCAACCCAGACUGAAAACCGAUGUCCUCACUCCACAGCCACCUACGAACCCACCGCCAAGACACUGCAUUUGGAGGACCAUCAUGUUCAGGCUACGAGGAAUCGCCUAACUAUUUAAGAAACCCACGCCAGUUCCUGAUUGGUUGAAAAAGAGUCCAGCUAGGAUCCACAUUCUGAGUGGCUUAAGAUUCUGUCAAAUGUCUUCCCUGAUUGUCUUCACAUGGCAAGAAAUUCAAUAAACUGUAAUUGGAUCAUU